UACGUAGGGUGCAAGCGUUGUCCGGAAUUAUUGGGCGUAAAGAGCUCGUAGGCGGUUUGUCGCGUCUGCUGUGAAAACUCAGGGCUUAACCCUGAGCUUGCAGUGGGUACGGGCAGACUAGAGUGCGGUAGGGGAGACUGGAAUUCCUGGUGUAGCGGUGAAAUGCGCAGAUAUCAGGAGGAACACCGGUGGCGAAGGCGGUGGGCUGGGCCGGCACUGACGCUGAGGAGCGAAAGCGUGGGGAGCGAACAGG
rnacentral:rRNA from 1 species